rnacentral:rRNA from 1 species
AGUGAACGCUGGCGGUAGGCCUAACACAUGCAAAUCGAACGGCAGCACAGAGGAGCUUGCUCCUUGGGUGGCGAGUGGCGGACGGGUGAGGAAUACAUCGGAAUCUACUCUGUCGGGGGGGAUAACGUAGGGAGACUUACGCUAAUACCGCAUACGACCUACGGGUGAAAGCAGGGGAUCUUCGGACCUUGCGCGAUUGAAUGAGCGGAUGUCGGAUUAGCUAGUUGGCGGGGUAAAGGCCCACCAAGGCGACGAUCCGUAGCUGGGCUGAGAGGAUGAUCAGCCACACUGGAACUGAGACACGGUCCAGACUCCUACGGGAGGCAGCAGUGGGGAAUAUUGGACAAUGGGCGCAAGCCUGAUCCAGCCAUACCGCGUGGGUGAAGAAGGCCUUCGGGUUGUAAAGCCCUUUUGUUGGGAAAGAAAUCCAUCUGGUUAAUACCCGGGUGGGAUGACGGUACCCAAAGAAUAAGCACCGGCUAACUUCGUGCCAGCCGCCGCCGUAA